rnacentral:rRNA from 1 species
AUGCACUGCAGGUGGCACAUUAUAAAGAAGGCUGAGGAGACACCAGGACCGUUCUUUGCUGACCGUCCAGAGCUGCACAAGGCAUUCGAGCUGUGCGUGGACCACAGCUUGAUGGUGGAGGAGUUUGAACGGAGUUGGAUGGCUAUGAUUGAAACAUAUCAAGUCCAAGACAACGAGACGCUUGCUAGCCUGUGGGAGAAGCGAAUGUACUGGGUGCCGGCCUACUUCAUGCAGUGCUUCUUCCCAUUUCUGCAGACUACGCAGCGUAGCGAGGGGUUCAAUCCAGUUCUGAAGCGGUACGUGAGCCCUGGCAACUCAUUGUUGCAGUUUGCCAAGCAAUACAUGGCUUUGCAACAAAAAAUACUGGAUAUGAGCUACAGCAGGAAGCAAACACAACGCUCAAGCAGCCUAAAUUGCUAA